rnacentral:rRNA from 1 species
CGGAGCAGGGUGAGUCGGCCCCUAAGGCCAGGCUGAGAAGCGUAGUCGAUGGGAAGCAGAUUAAUAUUUCUGCACCAUGUGCAAGUGCGAUGGGGGGACGGAGUGCGAAAGAUCAUCCGGGUGUUGGAUGUCCCGGUUUGUGAGUGUAGAAGGCCGACAGGCAAAUCCGUCGGCGGAUCUUCGAGACAAAGCAUCGAGGUUCUACGGAACCGAAGUGAUCGGAAGUGCUUCCAGGAAAAGCCUCUAAGCUUCAGCUUGCAUAUGACCGUACCGUAAACCGACACUGGUGGGCGAGUUGAAUAUACUCAGGCGCUUGAGAGAACUCGGGAGAAGGAACUCGGCAAAUUGACACCGUAACUUCGGGAUAAGGUGUGCCUUUGUAGCGUGAAGAGAGAAACACUCGGAGCGUGAAGAGGCCUCAGAGAAUCGGUGGCUGCAACUGUUUAUUAAAAACACAGCACUCUGCAAAGACGAAAGUCGACGUAUAGGGUGUGAUGCCUGCCCGGUGCUGGAAGAUUAAGUGAUGGGGUGAGAGCUCCUGAUCGAAGUCCCAGUAAACGGCGGCCGUAACUAUAACGGUCCUAAGGUAGCGAAAUUCCUUGUCGGGUAAGUUCCGACCUGCACGAAUGGCAUAAUGAUGGCCACACUGUCUCCUCCCGAGACUCAGUGAAGUUGAAAUGUUUGUGAUGAUGCAAUCUCCCCGCGGCUAGACGGAAAGACCCCAUGAACCUUUACUGUAGCUUUGCAUUGGACUUUGAACCGAUUUGUGUAGGAUAGGCGGGAGGCAGAGAAAGCGCAACGCCAGUUGUGCCGGAGCCGACGUUGAAAUACCGCCCUGAUUUGUUUGAGGUUCUAACCGCGACCCGUAAGCCGGGUCCGGGACCGUGCAUGGCAGGCAGUUUGACUGGGGCGGUCUCCUCCUAAAGGGUAACGGAGGAGUACAAAGGUACGCUAGGUACGGUCGGAAAUCGUGCUGAUAGUGCAAAGGCAAAAGCGUGCUUGACUGCGAGACCGACAAGUCGAGCAGAUGCGAAAGCAGGUCUUAGUGAUCCGGUGGCUCUGUAUGGAAGGGCCAUCGCUCAACGGAUAAAAGGUACUCUGGGGAUAACAGGCUGAUACCGCCCAAGAGUUCAUAUCGACGGCGGUGUUUGGCAC